AAUAGAACAACAAAACGAUUGCCUUCU
rnacentral:piRNA from 1 species